rnacentral:tRNA from 1 species
AUUUAUAUAAUAUAAAAAAGUAUAUUUGACUUCCAAUCAUAAAGUCUAUUAUAAAUAGUAUAAAUA